CACGUAGGGGGCAAGCGUUGUCCGGAUUUAUUGGGCGUAAAGAGCUCGUAGGUGGUUUGUCGCGUUGUUCGUGAAAACUCACAGCUCAACUGUGGGCGUGCGGGCGAUACGGGCAGACUAGAGUACUGCAGGGGAGACUGGAAUUCCUGGUGUAGCGGUGGAAUGCGCAGAUAUCAGGAGGAACACCAGUAGCGAAGGCGGCACUCUGGGCCGGUACUGACGCUGAGGAGCGAAAGCGUGGGGAGCGAACAGG
rnacentral:rRNA from 1 species